GAUGAAAAUAUAAACAAGUGUAUUGCUAUCUUCUUCCCUGCAAUGGAUUAUCAUGCCCCUAGGGCAGGGGUCCCCAACCCCUGGGCCACACAGAUGGAUGGAUACCGGCCUGUUAGGAACUGGGCCGCACGGCAGGAGGGACGGGUCUAACUCAGGCCUGGCCAAUGAGAAUAUUUCAUACGCUUGGCCGCAGUGAUUGGUUCAAGGAUGUAAUUGUGAUCCAGUGAGAUUCACGUUCGGUUCAGUGAGAUUCAGAUCCAGUAGUUGUAUUGAGGAAGAGACAAACUUUUCUGCUGAAUUUGAACCUGACGGGUGCAGUCCUGGAGCUCUUGUUUGCUAUCUUGCCAGUACAUGGAACCAAAGGAAGCAAAGCCAACAUGGAGAAGAGCGGAGUGAUAAAUGGAGAGACUCAGUGUCCCAGCGACAUCACUUGCAUUCUGAAGCUAACUCUGACUGUAGUCGGGUUACCCUAAUCUCUUUUCAGUUGAGCUGGGUUUGAACUGGACUUUCUGUCACUGAAUCAAAAAAGAGCCUUGACUGGAGCCUUCACGAGAACCUGAGCUCACCUUAUUUCCCGUCUCCUACCCAUUGUGGACCGCACUUGUAUCCUUGAUUUCUAACCCAGGAAGUCAGCGAUGGAGUGAGGUGAGGGAUAGAGCAAGACUCAAGGAUGGGGGUCAAACUGGAGUCAUUCUGGGUUUAUUCCGUGGUCACUCUAGAAUCCUCAGGGAGUCUUUCUGGGCCAACCCAACACUGCGGUGAGCAGUGCUCUCAGCUGCUCCCACGGAGGCAGUGAAUCAGGAGAAAAGUCAUUCUUUGCAGAGAUGGACAA